UGUGUUGGGUUCCAUUAUUGUGUUGCUGUGUGGUUUCUUUGUUAUCACAGUUGUGUUUGGACCUGGAGGGUGGAAUUCUGAGGAUGUUGUGUUGCUAAUAUUGUGGUGUUUGGCCAUCUGUGUGCUUGUGUUUGGUUGAAGCCACAGGUCAGUGAAGGUCAGAGGUCAGCAGCCGUCCCCACCAACUGACCUGCCGGUCGUCCCUCGACGCUCCGCUAGCAGGGAUGCGGUUGCCAUGGCACCUGAGCUUCGCCUGGCUCCACUGAUGUUUACCUUGUUCCUUCCAUCACACACCCCCUCGCCCCCCCCAGAGGUACCACGGCGCUGUGCCGGAACAUAAUCUGUACAACCUUGGCGGUGACGAGUCACUUCAAUCCUGCUGGUCGCCAUGACAACAGGUACCAGGCAGAUCAGUGAGCCGCGUCGCUGGUGUUCAUCAUCUCCAUCUCUCCACACCUGCCCCUGCUCUCGAUUCGCUCCCAUAUUUGUGGCAGAGGAGAUUACUGCAGUUUCAAAUGUGUCUGGAAGACACUUCCUGUUCCAAAAUAAAAGCUCAUCUUUGUUUUAGUUGACUCAAGUCGGCUGUACAGCGCAUCCCAAUCUUGGGAAUAGAUGUCACUUACGGUGUCCCACAAGGUUCCGUCAUGGGUCCAUCCUUGUUUUUACCCUUCACCUUCAACUCAUGGCAACAACACCAAACACUUUCUCUUCAGUCUCGUCGCCUCCACAUCUGCUCAUAUCUAUAUCAUUAUAUUUCAUGUGUUUGGGUUGUUUUUUUUAUUAAAAUAGUUUAGUUUUUUCCAAUGUAUAUGAUAAAUAAUGUCAAUCUUAAGGAUGGAAUUCUUAGAUUUUAAAAAGGCAUCUCUAAUUUCUUUUCAAACAUUUGUUUUAUUCCAUUUUAAAAUGUAUGUAAAACAGCAAACUAAAAUAUUAUCAUAGAUUAAUCAAGUGUAGCGUCCCGGAAAUCAAAUCUAAACAUUUACAAACAUGAUUUACAAUCCCAUCCAGUUGAGACUAACUCGGAGAUAAUGAACACACAAAGGCAGCAAAGCCGUGUUCAUUUUCGCACUUGACUGAACUCGUGCACAGAUAAUGGGACCCAGCCUCGUCCUGGCUGCUGGUCUCUACCUUAAUCUCUUUUUAAAUAAUGCAGGGAGUGUGUGGCUCCGCGUGUCCGUGUCUGAGCUCGGUCACAUUAAUCCUGCGAGUCAGAGCCGAGUCAGAGGCACGAGAGUGCCUGCAAUUAACCAAGUCACAAACCUGCUUGGCUCUGACUCCAGCCGAGCCCAGAUCCCAACCUGCCUCCCAGAUUAGAGUCAAAAUGGCCGCUGAUGAGAGCGCGAGCUGUCGGUUCACACGCCGCCGCCGUGUUCACUCGGCUGUGACCUCCUGACUUCAUUACAUUUCUAAAUAAAUGCUGAUUCGUGGCUUUUCUGCAGCAUUCCAUUCCUCAUUUCUGACAGAGCUUUCAUCCUGUUUGCUUCUUGGGUUGAUAUAUUACUCUGCGCUCCACACACAUGCACUUUUUUAAUCAGAAUAUUUUUCAUUUUGUACUUUUUUUUUUUUUCCCCUGAAAGCCAAACCAGGAACCUGAAACCAGGUCUUCUGGUUUUAUAAAUAAAACAGUGAACAAGCAUAUUUCUGUUUCACAUGUUUGAGGAGUUAAACUUUAAAAUUGUGUGUAAAAAUAAAACGAUAUUUAAAAUCAAACAACAAAAACAAAUUGUCUAAAUAAUAAGGACAUGAUGUCCGACUCUUUAGCAUGUUGGUAUUUAGCUCCCUGUUAGCAUCCACCACAUUCUUUUUCCUCGUCGAGUCAGGCUCUUAAAAACACAAGUACAUGUGUAAGAAAGUACUGAAAUCUGGAUCCGGGAUUAUUAAAAGGGCCAGUAGCUAAGAUGCUAAAGGUGCUAACAAAGAAUGGGCGGCUUGUUUAGCAGGCUCAAAAAACACCUUCUAUCACCCUAAAAAGCAGAGUGAGUCUGUGCGCCAGCUGCUGUUCUCGGGAGUUUUCCCUCCGUUUCUGUGGAUUCUGGAGUCCAUUUUGUCUCAUCUGGGUCCAGCAUCCAGGAAGCAGCAGGUGGGAGGAAAUAAGAGCUUCCAGUCUGAUUCGAGCGAAUUCUUCCUUCAGUUCUGAUGCCGACACGACAGGCAGCGAUCUUCGAGCGAGGCGCGUCGAUGGAGGAAAUGAGGUUAUCUAAAAUGAUCAUCAUCGCUGGCGGAAGGGUCACGUUGAAGACGUGAAAUUCUGCCUUAUUUAGAGCCGAUGGAGGUAGACAUAUCGUAGUCUGAAGUCGUGGUGAAGUCGCCCCCCUGAGCCACUUGGUUACCCAUCGAUGGUGCAUACUUAGACACUGCUAUCCACCUUAGCGGUGGUGGGGGUUUUUUUUCAGGACAUUGAGGUCUGAACUCAGGGGGGCGUUUCAGCUCGAGAAACUUCCAGCUCCUUGUAAGAUCGGAACACGACGUGUACCAACCAAGUGCAACAGAGUAGUCGUGGCCAGGAACAAGGCUCCCAAACUGGGAGUCUGUCAGUCCCACAUCAUGGAAAAGGCCCUGGUCUGAGCCCCUAGAAGACUGUCGAUACAGGUUCAGAGAAGGUUGGACACUGCUCUGGACUGGUGGGUGGAGGCCCGGGGCAGAUCCAGAACACUCUGGCCAGGUCCAAAAAAAGUUCCACAGAGGCGGUGACACGUGAAAAUGCUCCGUUCACACCUGAAACAAACUCCGUCUCCGCCCGAGAGAGCGAUCCGCUCGCCAGGAUAAAUGGGACCACUCUCCUCCGCCCACGGCUUUUGCAUCUUCUCUCUGUCCUCAUUUUGAGUCAGUGGAGGACAAAAUGUUUUGUGCGGCGUCUGAAACACAGAUGGCGGCGAGCUCUGCCCGAGCCGUCGCUCACCAACAGGUUAGCAUGCCAAGCACACCAGCGAGGAACUGUCACAGUACACCAGUCCGCCUGGCACACGCUGCUGCCGUCUGACUGCAGGAAGAUAAAGAGCUCAGAGGCUGCGCGCAAUAAUAAUCCCGCGCUCGCCGUUGAUAUUUGCGCCGCAUUACACGCCUUUGUUCGGGACUUCCUUCCUGCUGUCUUGAAUUUAGGGCACGCGGAUGGUUACUCUUGAUGUCUGGUGACUAGCUGCACCCGAAAACAUGCUGGAGUGUGUGACCCUCAGGAGGAGGAGGAGCGUAGAAACAAGACGCCAUCAAAAGGGCUCAGGAGCGGAGGCACAUCACAGGUGACUUCCAAGUGGAAACCUGGAGGUGAAGUUUCCCUUGUGGGGAUCGAAAGGAGACAAAGUGAAGACAGUGGCAGAUCAUUACCGUCUGACGCGCCGGUGCAACUCCUCUCAGGCUUUUGAUGUUUCCGUGCUGCGGCGCCACAUCUUAUCAGUUAUCGCAGGUUGGAAUUUGCAUUCGCAGCUUAGCGUUUUAUCUCGUGGGUCCAGAGGAUCGCGGCGGUAAAUAAUGAGCCCCUCAGAUGAAUCAGAACCGGCAUGAAAGAUUCGGGAGCCGCACAGCGGGAACAGAGGAUGGGACACGGGUCAUGUCACGCCUUGACUUCAGGGAGGCACAGAAGAAAGGGGCGACUCCGGUUUCCUCCCACAGGAAAACAAGGGGGAGGUCCUCCAGUCACACCUUCAUGCCCUCCGUCCUCAUC